ensembl:lncRNA
CGGCAAUUAACGGGUUAAUCCGAAGCAUCAAGACUUUGAAAUCACAUACACAGAACAAUAUUCAUUAAGAAAGUGAAAUUAAAUGAUUAAUAAACUAUUUAUUCGAACCCUUGCUAUUUUCUAUUCUAAUAAGAGUCUUGGCUGUGGAACACCUGUAAUAGAGUUGGCUAGCUGGAUGCAAAUAAAGUCAUGCCUUUUAUUUGUUCCCCUGUUUGCUAUUUCACAUUCCUGUCACUGAAGCGUUGUGGCCAAAGACACAGAAGGUAACUGAAACAAUGUGGUUUAAGUCAAGGUGAUUAUUAGGGGUCCAAGCACAUUGGUUUGUGUAGAUGAUGCAG